UGAAGUGAAAUGGCCUGUGAGCAAAUGAGUGUACAAGAAGUGGAACACAUUUUUCAAUUAAGUAAAAGCAUUAAGUGUAAAGACACAUGCAAGAAUUACUUGCAAAUAGUGAAAACUAACUAAAAAAUUGCUUGCCAGCCAAAAAUCAAAGCACGAAAGCAUAAGAUAUAUAAAAAGCCAAAAGUAAGCAAAUGAUUAAAGUAAGCAUAUAAGAGAUGCAAAUGAACUUCUACUGUAAUAACAUAUAUUACUGGGUCUAGAUUGAUGAUGAUAAGCUAGAAAAUGGGUCCAAAUUAAGAGGAAUGGAAAUAUAACUAAUGUAAUGAAUCUACAAUAAAUCUAGUUCUAUGCAAUAAUUUCCAUAUUCUUGCUAUAGACAAAAUGCAUAACAACAGCUUGGUCAAAGUUUAAUCAACUUUGAGGAAAAUUUGAGAUGGUAGAAAUCAUACAAAAUA
rnacentral:misc_RNA from 1 species